UUGAAGUCUCAUGAUUAAUCUUUAAAGUUUUCAGGGAUUUUAUAUUUUACUCAAAAUUCUGCAUAUUUAUUUUUAAUUCAGAAAGAAUUCUUCCUUAAAUUUUAUAACAAAAUUAACAUGCCAGGAAGUUGUACCAUGUUUAUUCCCUGACUUGAAAUGUUCAUUGUUAAUCCCUGCAUACUUCAGUCUGAGAAGCUCAAACAGUGUCAUUUUACCAUUUCAAAAGUAUGACUGGAUUACACAAGCCAUCACAACUAAAUGCUGGUGUCCAGCCACCACCUACAACACUGUCCCUAUAGGCGAAUGCCUUCCAAGUUGCAAACAACUGACUUACAAAUUUUGGCUCACAAUCUACUUAUAAGUUGGGAACUGUUUGUCCUAAUACAAUAUCCCCUUGCCACAGGGUAUGUCAUCACAACAAAUCGUUCUUUUAAUUUCUGGAAAACGCACCACUUCUUCAAGUUAUAUGUUGAUUUUUUUUUUUUCCUCUACAUAUCAAAUGGCCUUCAAGCAGAGUUUCCCAGUAUGACUAUCUAGUUGGGAAAACAAUCUGACAACAACAAAAAGAAGAUACAUGAAAGAGCAAGAUUGAACAGAUCUCAUUUAUAAGCAAGGGCCUUUGAUUCUGUACUCUGUCCUUCAGCUUCAGAAUUCAAUGUUCCUACUCAAUUUUCUGCUGUUCAAAUGAUGCAGUCAUUUUGUUGCUUGGAUAUAGAUGGUAGGCUCCAGCUCUGAAGGCAACAAAGUUGGUGAAAAUCUCACAGGAAGCCAAGCUCUUCUUUGUCUUUUGUCAAGGCCCUUUGUAGUUUCAAAAUGAUCAGAAGCGAGUGCAGGUGAAAAGCAAACACUGCGGUAUGCUUGAGGAGAGUGACAUCAUCUGUGUGGCAGUGCUUUCCGGGCUCCUUACAGAUGGAGGUAAUUGCAGAUGGAAAACCUACCACAGGAGGAGACUACCGGUUGAAGAAUGCCUCAUCUGAUAUAAAACAAAUGGUUAAAAGUGAAACACACUUGGAUAUUACUGCUGAUCUCAGAAAGAAACUCCAUGGGGCUAAGAAAGAAAAAUUAGAAAUAACAACUAAGCACAAUGCAGAGGCCCGUGACCAACUCUGGGUUCAGCCCUGCACUUUGAAGGGUAUGAAAGAAAUGUAAAAGAAGACCCUGCCAUCAAAGGACUUUGGAGACUCACCAUCUACUUUCUUCAUUGUCUGCCGCCAUAUGGUGAUAAGGAAUAACCUUGAUUAGAAGGCACAGCCUCUGUGAAAGACCAGCAGGGUUAACUUCAUUAUUAUGUGGGAAUGAUGAUUUCACAUAUAAGAUCCUUCACAGCGAGAGGAGAUUGGUUCAAGAUGGCGGAGUAGAAGGACGUGCUCUCACUCCCUCUUGCAAGAGCACUGGAAUCACAGCUAACUGCUGAACAAUCAUCAACAGGAAGACACUGGAACUCACCGAAAAGGAUACCCCACAUCCAAAGACAAAGGAGAAGCCACAAUGAGAUGGUAGGAGGGGUGCAAUUACAAUAAAAUCAAAUCCCAUAAUUGCUGGGUGGGUGACUCACAAACUGGAGAACACUUAUACACAGAAGUCCAUCUACUGGAGUGAAGGUUCUGAGCCCCAUGUCAGGCUUCCCAACCUGGGGGGCUGGCAAUGGGAGGAGGAAUUCCUAGAGAAUCAGACUUUGAAGGCUAGCAGGAUUUGAUUACAGGACUUUGACAGAACUGAGGGAAACAGAGACUCCACUCUUGGAGGGCACACACAAAGUAGUGUGUGCAUCGGGACCCAGGGGAAGGAGCAGUGACCCCAUAGGAGACUGAACCAGACUUACCUGCUAGUAUUGGAGGGUCUCCUGCAGAGGUGGAGGGUGGCUGUGUCUCAUCAUGAGGACAAGGACACUGGCAGCAGAAGUUCUGGGAAGUACUCCUUGGCGUGAUCCCUCCCAGAGUCCUCCAUUAGCCCCAACAAAGAUCCCGGGUAGGCUUCAGUCUUGGGUCGCCUCAGGCCAAACAACCAACAGGGAGGGAGCCCAGCCCCACCCAUCAGCAGACAAGUGGAUUAAAGUUUUACUCAGCUCUGCCCACCAGAGCAAUAUUCAGGUCUACCCACCACCAGUCCCUCCCAUCAGGAAACUUACACAAGCCUCUUAUAUAGCCUAAUCCAACAGAGGGCAGACAGCAGUAGCAAGAAGAACUACAAUCCUGCAGCCUGUGGAACAAAACCCACAUUCACAGAAACAUAGACAAGAUGAAAAGGCAGAUGGCUAUGUACCAGAUGAAGGAAGAAGAUAAAACCCCAGAGGGGCUUCCCUGGUGGCGCAGUGGUUGAGAGUCCGCCUGCUGAUGCAGGGGACACGGGUUCCUGCCCCGGUCCGGGCAGAUCCCACAUGCCGCGGAGCGGCUGGGCCCGUGAGCCAUUGCCACUGAGCCUGCGUGUCUGGAGCCUGUGCUCCGCAACAGGAGAGGCCACAACAGUGAGAGGCCCGUGUACUGCAAAAAAAAAAAAAAAAAAAAAAGAUAAAACCCCAGAAAAACAACUAAACAAAGUGGCGACAGGCAACCUUCCAGAAAAAGAAUUCAGAAUAAUGAUAGUGAAGAUGAUCCUGGACCUCGGAAAAAGAAUGGAGGCAAACAUUGAGAAGAUGAAAGAAAUGUUUAAUAAGGACCUAGAAAAAUUAAAACAAACAAAUAGAGAUGAACAAUACAAUAACUGAAAUUAAAAAUA